UGGGGAAUUUUGGACAAUGGGCGAAAGCCUGAUCCAGCAAUGCCGCGUGUGUGAAGAAGGCCUUCGGGUUGUAAAGCACUUUUGUCCGGAAAGAAAUCCUUGGCUCUAAUACAGUCGGGGGAUGACGGUACCGGAAGAAUAAGCACCGGCUAACUACGUGCCAGCAGCCGCGGUAAUACGUAGGGUGCAAGCGUUAAUCGGAAUUACUGGGCGUAAAGCGUGCGCAGGCGGUCCGCUAAGACAGAUGUGAAAUCCCCGGGCUUAACCUGGGAACUGCAUUUGUGACUGGCGGGCUAGAGUAUGGCAGAGGGGGGUAGAAUUCCACGUGUAGCAGUGAAAUGCGUAGAGAUGUGGAGGAAUACCGAUGGCGAAGGCAGCCCCCUGGGCCAAUACUGACGCUCAUGCACGAAAGCGUGGGGGAGCAAACAGGAUUAGAUACCCUGGUAGUCCACGCCCUAAACGAUGUCAACUAGUUGUCGGGUCUUCAUUGACUUGGUAACGAGCUAACGCGUGAAGUUGACCGCCUGGGGAGUAACGGUCGCAAGAUUAAAAACUUAAAUAAUUGACGGGGUCAUAGCU
rnacentral:rRNA from 1 species